rnacentral:tRNA from 1 species
GGCCUGAUGGCGGAGUGGUUACGCAGCGGACUGCAAAUCCGCGCACCCGAGUUCGAUUCUCGGUCAGGCCUCCA